rnacentral:tRNA from 1 species
GGGGAAUUAGCUCAGAUGGUAGAGCGCUCGCUUAGCAUGCAAGAGGUGGUGGGAUCGAUGCCCACAUUCUCCA